GACGAACGCUGGCGGCGUGCCUAAUACAUGCAAGUAGAACGCUGAAGAGAGGAGCUUGCUCUUCUUGGAUGAGUUGCGAACGGGUGAGUAACGCGUAGGUAACCUGCCUUGUAGCGGGGGAUAACUAUUAGAAACGAUAGCUAAUACCGCAUAACAAUGGAUGACACAUGUCAUUUAUUUGAAAGGGGCAAUUGCUCCACUACAAGAUGGACCUGCGUUGUAUUAGCUAGUAGGUGAGGUAAUGGCUCACCUAGGCGACGAUACAUAGCCGACCUGAGAGGGUGAUCGGCCACACUGGGACUGGGACACGGCCCAGGCUCCUACGGGAGGCAGCAGUAGGGAAUCUUCGGCAAUGGGGGCAACCCUGACCGAGCAACGCCGCGUGAGUGAAGAAGGUUUUCGGAUCGUAAAGCUCUGUUGUAAGUCAAGAACGGGUGUGAGAGUGGAAAGUUCACACUGUGACGGUAGCUUACCAGAAAGGGACGGCUAACUACGUG
rnacentral:rRNA from 1 species